rnacentral:snRNA from 1 species
AUACAAACCUUUGGCACAGGAGAAACCGUGAUCAAGAAGGCGGUGCUCCCAGGACGAGAUCAUUGAGUUUGGAUUGACUCCUGCGGUGACCCUAAAAAAGGGUGUCCCGAGUGUCUUAUUUCUGAAUGUGGGGAAGCUGCGGUCGCGCUUUUUCCCU